GCAAAGCCCAUUUUAGUGAGACCCAUGUACAGGAUCAUAAUGACAGCCCGAGCAAAGCCCGGCCCGGAGGAUGCCCAGGUUUAGCUGGGAACAAUCGCCGUCAGCCGCACGGCGAUACCGGGAUCCCCGUCGACUCCGGCGGCCGGAGGGCAACGCACGCGGGCCCGCACUCACGUCACGGCUCUCACCACGGCUAAUCCGGCGAAGCUCUCCGCGGUCUACGCCGCCAGAAGUUUACUAGGUGGCUGAUGGUCCAGGUUCAUGCCAAGGAAAUCCCAGCUUCUUGUGGUCAUCAAGUCAUGGUGCUGAUUUGGAGUAACGCUGAUAACUUCAGGAUAGUGUUAGAUCAACAGAGAAUCAGCGAAGCAAUUUUUGUAGCAAACUUGGCCCACCUGCAAGAUCUUGUGCUUGGUCAUCUGUUAACAUGGCCGCGAAGCCUGAGAAGCCAUGCUUGUAGCUAUAAGUGAUGGAGGCCAACGCAUCUUCCUUGCUGAAACAAAUCAGCAAGUGAUGAGAAAAAAAAAACUGACAGCCUUACUCGGAAUUGUCGAACGAAAUACUCUGUCCUUUAAAAGUAUAUAAUAUGGCCCGUCAGAAGAUCAGAACCGAACUCGGAAAGAUGGCAAACUUGUUCUGAGGUUUACCUUCCAAGAAUGGUGGUGAGCAUGUCAUGGUGCGAAGCUGUUACCAGAGAAGGGUCAUCAUGUUUCUUCUCUCCCAGGGUGAUGAAUCAGCCAUACCUUUUGAGAGCCAUACCCUCUGCCUAUGCUUAUCAUAAGGCAUAAGCAGAGUAGGAGGUAAGCCGGAAAACGCCGAGGGGAAGAGUGGAAAUCCAUGUUGGUAUGGAAGCACUUGCUGAUAUGAUCAGAAAGGAAGGUCAAAGAUACAGGCUCAGUUGGCAUGAAUCGAAUCUUUCGGCUAUCGACGCCAAUUUCCUCCCUGAAGUUCCCUGGAACUAGCUCAGCUGAAACGCGUUGCGUUUCUCCCCGCUCCAGCAUUCUCCCAGUUCAAACCUGCAACGAAAUUGCUGAAGAUGCUGCCGGUUGCUGUAGGCUAGAACAGGGCAGGGCUCCGUUCAGACAGGGAAUCAAAUCGAGGGCCCUCCGGAUGGUCUCGUGCGCGUAUUGAAGGUGUGGUGGUUCUCAAUCGGCGGCGGGUUUUGUAUGCCUUUCCUUUUCCUGGCCGCUGCAUAUGAUUGUACGGGUCCAUCACCCGUGGCUGUGAGCGAUCCCAAGAACAUUGACUUGCUGAUGAGAGAGCAUCUCUUCCAUCUCUUCCGGAGAGAAGAUUGACUUGACUAGCGCGUCGACCAUCCAUGCCAUACGUAGUGCCAGCUCUUCCGGUGUUAUCGAGGAGACGUCAGUGCAGCCUGCUGAUCUUUUAUUUCUUGGAAGAGAAGUACACUUUUGCUUGAAAAAGUUCAUAAAUACUCCCUCUGUAAAGAAAAAUAUUAGAGCAUCUAUUUACGGAGGGAGUACUUGCUGAACUUUUUUUUGAGGAUUACUGAGUGUAUUCUGGCAGUGUAAAUAUGAGCUCUGACCAUGAUUUGUUCAA